ACGAACGCUGGCGGCGUGGAUAAGACAUGCGAGUCGAACGAGAGAAUUGCUAGCUUGCUAAUAAUUCUCUAGUGGCGCACGGGUGAGUAACACGUGAGUAACCUGCCCCCGAGAGCGGGAUAGCCCUGGGAAACUGGGAUUAAUACCGCAUAGUAUCGAAAGAUUAAAGCAGCAAUGCGCUUGGGGAUGGGCUCGCGGCCUAUUAGUUAGUUGGUGAGGUAACGGCUCACCAAGGCGAUGACGGGUAGCCGGUCUGAGAGGAUGUCCGGCCACACUGGAACUGAGACACGGUCCAGACACCUACGGGUGGCAGCAGUCGAGAAUCAUUCACAAUGGGGGAAACCCUGAUGGUGUGACGCCGCGUGGGGGAAUGAAGGUCUUCGGAUUGUAAACCCCUGUCAUGUGGGAGCAAAUUAAAAAGAUAGUACCACAAGAGGAAGAGACGGCUAACUCUGUGCCAGCAGCCGCGGUAAUACAGAGGUCUCAAGCGUUGUUCGGAAUCACUGGGCGUAAAGCGUGCGUAGGCUGUUUCGUAAGUCGUGUGUGAAAGGCGCGGGCUCAACCCGCGGACGGCACAUGAUACUGCGAGACUAGAGUAAUGGAGGGGGAACCGGAAUUCUCGGUGUAGCAGUGAAAUGCGUAGAUAUCGAGAGGAACACUCGUGGCGAAGGCGGGUUCCUGGACAUUAACUGACGCUGAGGCACGAAGGCCAGGGGAGCGAAAGGGAUUAGAUACCCCUGUAGUCCUGGCAGUAAACGGUGCACGCUUGGUGUGCGGGGAAUCGACCCCCUGCGUGCCGGAGCUAACGCGUUAAGCGUGCCGCCUGGGGAGUACGGUCGCAAGAUUAAAACUCAAAGAAAUUGACGGGGACCCGCACAAGCGGUGGAGUAUGUGGCUUAAUUCGAUGCAACGCGAAGAACCUUACCUGGGCUUGACAUGUAAUGAACAACAUGUGAAAGCAUGCGACUCUUCGGAGGCGUUACACAGGUGCUGCAUGGCCGUCGUCAGCUCGUGUCGUGAGAUGUUUGGUUAAGUCCAGCAACGAGCGCAACCCCUGUUGCCAGUUACCAGCACGUGAAGGUGGGGACUCUGGCGAGACUGCCCAGAUCAACUGGGAGGAAGGUGGGGACGACGUCAGGUCAGUAUGGCCCUUAUGCCCAGGGCUGCACACGUACUACAAUGCCCAGUACAGAGGGGGCCGAAGCCGCGAGGCGGAGGAAAUCCUGAAAACUGGGCCCAGUUCGGACUGUAGGCUGCAACCCGCCUACACGAAGCCGGAAUCGCUAGUAAUGGCGCAUCAGCUACGGCGCCGUGAAUACGUUCCCGGGUCUUGUACACACCGCCCGUCACAUCAUGGAAGCCGGUCGCACCCGAAGUAUCUGAAGCCAACCGCAAGGAGGCAGGGUCCUAAGGUGAGACUGGUAACUGGGAUG
rnacentral:rRNA from 1 species